UUAGGGUGUAGGGAUCCAGGCCAGAGAGCUUGGGCUAAGCACUGGUUCCGAUGAGCUGGAGAAGAGCCUGGGAAAGUUUCUGGCCGGGGGACUGGAUAGGGGCCUGCUUGGGAACUGCCCCCUGAAAAACCCCGCUGGCCCUUGAUUUCGAGACAAGCAGGUGUUCUGAGAACUUCCUCCUCCCGCGGCCGCCCCUCCUCCAGGCCCUCUAUUUAUAGCGCUUCCUCUCUUGAGCUCCGCGAGAAAAGUACCCUUGAAACACACAGAAGAGAAAAAUUCUGAAAAAUGUCAAACCACGGGUCCUUUCCCCUCUCUUCUGUUAAGAUCUAGGUUUGUACUAUUCCUGGUUGACCCCAAAGGAGACAAGGUCAAAUGGGGCAUCCUUGGGUUAUCACAGUGGCGUUCAGAAGGUGCUGGCUGAGUCCUGGCUCCUCUCUGCAGCCUGUCUGGGACUAACUCAAGGGGCAGGGAACAGGAGACCCUUUUCCACCAAGAAAAGAUGGGGCCACGAAGGUCUAGCCUGAUCUAGCACGUGAGUUUGGAGAGAUCAACAGCAAAGAUGGUGAGACGGGAGUUGGAAAAUAUCAGACUCUGAGUUGGAAGCCUGAUGCCAUGUUCUAGUUCAAGCUUUGUUUGGGAUAUCACUUCUGUCUCUGAGUAUAUUUCCCUCUCUGUAAACCAAAAGAGUUGGACUAAACCCGUGUUUUACAAACUUUUAAAACACAGAGCACACACAACGGAAACAGAAGUCUUACGAAACAGUAUUUGUCCUUAUUCCGAUGCAUUUUCUUUUCUGUUCUGUUUCCUUUUCUCUUCUAUCUCAUUUUUCAAAAAUUCUGAUCAUGGCCCACUAAAAUGAUCUUGAAACCCACUAUAAAUUGUUAAAGUAGUAAAUUUUAUGUAUAUUUGAUCACAAUUAAAACAAUUUUUUUUUCUUGAGACAGGGUCCUGCUCUGCCACCCAGGCUGGAGGGCAGUGGCAGUCAUGGCUCACUGCAGCCUCUGUCUCCCAGGCUCAAGCAAUCUCCCAGCCUCAGCCUCCCGAGUAGCUAGGAUUACAGGCAUGCACCACCACACCCAGCCAAUUUUUAAAUUAUUUGUAGAGAUGGGGUCUCACUAUGUUGCCCAGCUGGUCUCAAACUCCUGAGCUCAAGGGAUCCUCCUGCUUUGGCCUCCCAAAGUGCUGGGAUUACAGGCAGGAGCCACCUUGCCUGGCACAAAACAGUGUUGUUUUUUUUUUUUUUUUUAAACCAACUAAUUGUGGAUUUUAAGCCAAUGGUUGAAAAAUACUGGACUACACAUAUUUAAGUUCUCCUCCAAUUAUUUUUAAAAAUCUAAUUGUUCAAUCACAGAGGAAAAGUGCCUCUUUGACAAAACAUUGAUAAUUUUAAAUUAUAUUUUCAGUUUUUUAAAAAAUCAAGUUUUAAAAUGUUUUCUUUUAAAAAAAUCAACCGAGGACAGUUUCAACUGAAGCUAAACCGAAAUACCCCGUGGCCCAGCAUCCCCCAGUCUGGGUACAUCCUAUAGAAAAUGAGUAUGCAAGUUCACCAAAUGACGUGUACAGAAAUGUUCACAGCAGCACCGUUGUAAUAGCCCUGCAUGAAACACAACUCAGAUGUUUAUCAAAAGGAGAAUAACUGGAAUCCCAACACUUCAGGAGGCUGAAGCCGGUGGAUUGCCUGAGCUCAGAAGUUUGAGACCUGCCUGGCCAACAUGGCGUAACCCUGUCUCUACCAAAAAUUACAAAAUUAGCCAGGCAUAGUGGCAUGCACCUGUGGUCCCAGCUACUUGAGGGGCUGAGGCGAGAGAAUCACUUGAGCCUUCGAGGUCAAGGCUGCAGUGAGCCAUGUUUAUGCCACUGUGCUCCAGCCUGGGUGAUGGAGCGAGAGCCUGUCCCAAAAAAAAAAAGAGCAUGAAUGUAUAAGUGUUGGUACAGCCAAACAAAUGAAUAGUAUAUAACAACGAGAGUGAAUGAACUACAACUGUUAGCAAUGUAGAUGAGUUCCACCUGUUGGGCUCAGCGCCUGAUACCCCAAAACAUAGCACCUUGGCAACUGAUAAAACAAAGAAACAAGAUGAUCACAAGACCCUUCCCGCACCCUUCUAUGUGACAGCUGGCGAUAAAGGAAUCCUCUGACCUACUUCACCAGAAAACAGAUCAUAAGAUCCUCCUUCCAGGACCAGGCAUGGUGGCUCACGCCUCUGAUCCUGUAAGCACUUUGGGAGGCCAAGGCAGGAGGACUUGAGGUCAGGAGUUAGAAACCAGCUUGGCCAACAUGGUGAAAACCCAUCUCUACUAAAAAUACAAAAAUUAGCCGGGCAUGGUGGUGCACACCUGUCAUCCCAGCUACUCAGGAGGCUGAGGCAGGAGAAUCGCUUGAGCCCAGAGGUUGCAGUGAGCUGAGAUUGUGCCACUGCACUCCAGCCUGGGCAACAGAGUGAGACUCCAUCUCAAAAAGAAAAAAAAAGGAAAUUGAAGAAACCUAAAGAAACAGAGAGACCUGUGAUUUUUCUGUGCUUAGGUUAGAUGAAGAGUGGAUGGUUUUGGAGAAAUAAGAUUGGAGGACGAAAAGGGUCUGAUUGAAUGGGGAAACCCUGGGGGACUUAGCAAGUCCUGUUUGCUCAGGCUCCUCGCUGUGACCCUGGUGCCUUCAGAGGGGUGUAAAGGGAGGAAGAGUGCCGAGUGUCGAGUCUUGUGCCAUGAACAGAUUCCAUUUCUGCAGAGGAGAACGUGCAGGGGACACCCUUCGAGGCUUUGGAGCCACCUAGGAAGGAGGCUGGCUGCUGCACAGGCCUCCGCUGGCUUCCUUGCACAUGUCCUUGGUGGGUGAGAGACGAGACAGAGAUGUCUAUACCUGGGUUGACAUGAGGCACAAUCUACAGCAGGAUCCCUAUCAGCCAGCCGCAGAUUGUUCAGGAGGGGACAGCUAUGUCCUGAAUCAAGGGAGGUUUAAGGGCUCAUGGACCUGGUGCCCUUCAAGUCAGCAUCUGACUGCAGAAGUCAGCCAUUUACAACCUGGAUCUUGGUGCUGGCUGCAUGAGCUGCAAUGGUCCUUGGGUGAGCUGUGCACCCUCUGUACACUUUGGUGCCUAUGUGUGCACCACCUAGACCAUCACGUGGCCCCAGUCUGCUGUGCACAGAGCACUGCGUAGACCCACUCCCACUCUUCUGUUUGUCACAGUGUGGAAAUUAAGGCUUAAAGGAUGAUCAGAAUGCAGCUGAGAGAAAUGGAGGUGGGUAAAAAGAAGGGAAGGCUAAGUUACUUAGCAGACUGGGAAAAAUGCAUUUGAAAUAGGAAAAUAUGUACACGUUUUCAACAAACAACCCAAUAGAAAAAGGGGCAUACUAUUUGUACGGGCAUACAGAAAGAUUACUGCAUGGCCAAUAAACAUGUGACAAGGUGCCCAGCAUCAGUAGUGAUCAGGGAUCUACCUGUUAAAACCACAACCCACCAAAACAGCUAACCUGAAAAAGAUGACAACACCAAGUGGUGGUGAGGAAGAGGAGCCAGGGGAGCACCCCCACACUGCUGGAACGAUUAAGAACAGCUACUUUGACCAACUGUUUGCCAGGACCUACUAAAAGUAGAAACACACAGAGCCUGUGACCCAGCAAUUCCACUCCUGGCUGUAUGCUCAGCAACAUGUAGGUGUGUUUCACCAAACACACAAAGAACACGAAGAGCGGGACUGUGUGUAAUUAUCCCGAAUGGCAGCAACUGCACCACGCAGCAACAGUAGAACGGAUAAAUAAAUGGUGGUGCACUGUACUCUUCUAGUUACCAUGGCUGUGUAAAGCAUAUCUUUUUCAGGAAGCUUUUUGUUGAAGUGUAACAUACUGUUCUUGUUACUGUGGCUGUGUAACAAAUUACCCCAAAACAGCAACUGGAAACAUAGUUUUAUCAUGUUUGUGAAUUCUGUGUGUCAGGAUAUUGAAGAGGACACAGUAGGAAUGGUUUUUCUCUGCUCCCUGAUCUUGGAGGUCUCUGCUGAAAAGGAUCAACAGCUGGGGGUUAAUCCAGGAGACGGUCAUACCAGAGGGCAUUUGAGAACGAAACAGAAGCAGAAAAGAGGCCCGAGAUCGCGAGAUCUGGCAAGAAGAGGUAGAACCGGGUGGGAAGAGAGAGCACAGCCGAGAUGCCCGUCUACUUGCCGUACUGGCCAUGGUUGGAGGCGGGUGUUCUUUUUAGGAAUGGCCGCGAUGGGUUGGAUUUACAGAGAGAGAGAAGUCUCAGUUCCGAAGGCUGAGUUCUGAAUAUGGAUUGGUUAUUUGCAUUGAAAUGUGAUCCCCAAGGUUGGGUCAUCAGGGCGGCUCUGUCAUGAACGGUUUGGUGCCCUGUCCAUGGUGUUGAGUCACUUCUUAUUCAGAUAGGCAAGAUCUGGUUGUUUAAAGAGCCUGGCACCUCCUUCCUCUCUCUCUCAUUCCCACUCUCGCCGUGUGACCGCCUGCUCCCACUUCACUUUCCACCAGGAGUCAAAGCUCCCUGAGGCCUCCCCAGAAGCCAAGCAGAUGCAGGCGCCGUGCUUGCACAGCCUGCAGAACCUGAGCCAGUUAAACUCUUCCUUAUAAAUUACCCAGCCUCAGACAUUUCUUUAUAGGAAAACAGACUAACCCAGGGCAAUGGGAGAAGGCACCUUGCCAAGGAUCUGCACCCACACACACCCACACCUCACUUUCCUCAUCUGUAAAAGGAAAGUAUCAUAUCUGCACAAGGGAGUAUGGUAUUUGCCACGUGGAAUGUUUGUGGGGAUUCCAUGGAGCAACAUGUGUGUCAAUUACUUAACACUAAAGAACUCAUUUAAAAUGGAAA